rnacentral:lncRNA from 1 species
UGCAGUGAGCCGAGAUCAUGCCUGGGUGACAGAGCGAGACUCCGUCUCGAAAACAGAAAAACAAGAAACCAAAAAGCCCUACCUCAGUACCUCAGUCACCAAGAGCCCCAAGCAGAGUUACCGGAAGAUAGCUGACAUGUAUUAAAUGUUUGUGGAAUAAGGAAUACAUGAAGAAGUCUAUCAUUCAAUCAAAGAAAACUAAGUAUCAUUGGAGGUCUUUCCAUUUUGGGGUCCAGUGGGUGUCCUUUGAGUCAAGAGCAUGAUCUUCAAUAGACUUGGGGCCAGAAAUGUGACAUGUGUCUGAAUCCAAUCAGAUCCAGUUAAGAUCCACAAAUGCUAGUCACUGGAAUCUGCAGCCCUUGAAUUAAUUCUGUCCUUAGAUUUGAUAAGCCAAUGUCAGAUUUAUUGUUGUUAUUUAUUAUUCUGUCCCUCCAGGAUGACAUUAGGAACAUACUGUCAAGAAAAGGAUGAUGCGUGUGCUGCAAAAUGCAGGACAAUUCACUUUCCAGGUGGGGUCUGGGGCCUGUGGCUUCUCUGUGAACUUUCUUUGUGUGCUGUGGAAUAUUUUCCAGCUGCAGCCUAUUGUCCUGUGAUUAGACUCUGGGGCUCCACAGUUCUGGUGGCUGGAAGUCCAAGAUCAGGAUGCCAGCAUGGUCAAGUUCUUGAAUCUUGAUGACUAGCAUUUGGAGGAACACACCUUGGGAAAUGGUGAUUCUGUCCAAACUUUUUGUGUUAUGGCUGUGAGAAAUAGACUUACAGAAGGAGAUGUCCGCCCCACAUCUCUAAACUCAUGGGUGGAAACUCAGACUAAGACGGCACCUAGAAUGUGGUCCAGCACAUUGAGAAUAGAGCAGAAGAUGAAAGCUGGAGGGGCUGAGGGGCCUUGGAGGCAGAGUUGGGCUCAACUUCUCAUUCCCUGGGACGAACUGUGCACAGUAGCCUCUGCUCCUCCUUCUUCAGUGAAGACUGCGAUGCCUGUGUUGGGGCUCAGAAACCGAUACCCCAAAAUAUGAUGCUUUGUACAUGCUGAACUGAAACAGGAGCUUUAAGCUCUUUCAGGCCUCCCCACAUCUUACCGUCUCUCCCAAAGUGUAGGAUUCUCUGAAAGUCUUUGUCUGCCUAAAGUCCAGACCUACCAAUGAAGAAAACAAUCACCUCCUGCCCUUUGUCUGAGUUUUCAUGAGCUGAACCCAUAUUGCAGGAAGGAAGGCUAAGAUCUGUCAACACACCUGGGCAGACUUUUGUCACAAACCAUUGUCUGCUCUGAGGACCCAAAAGAGCUUGUCCCAGAUAAUUGCCUGUUCUUUAAGGCUAUUAAAUUCUCCCUGGUAACCAUUUACUGUCCUUCAACGGAAGUCCUCUUCUUCCCCCUCCCAUGACCUGUAUGACCAGCUCCCAUGCCCCCAUUCUUUCUGUAACCUCAAGAUGGUUUAUAAACUUCUGCGCCUCAUUGAGGGGUUGGGUCUUCAUUCUGAGGGCUCCCGUGUCACCUAAAGCUAUGGUCAGAUACAUUUGUAUGUGUUUUCUCCAAUUAAUCUGCCUUUCGUGAGUUGAUUUAUCGUGAAACUUCAGAGGAUGAAGGAGAAAUUUUCCCUUUGCACCUAUGCCUGCCACCCUCACAGGCUGUGUGAAGGUCCUUCUUCAAAAAAUACUGGCUAUUCUUGGCACUGACCUGGCCUCGGCUUUCAGGAAGAGAGGGGAGGCAGGCUCCCUUUCCCAAGACAUGCUGGCAGCCUGAGAGUCAAGGCCAUGGGGUGUUCACAGAUGAGGCCCCCUGAUAUUUACAUGUCUUAGGGAUCAGAAGUGGGCACAGCUGGGGCAGAGCGAGGAAGUGCUAACACCCACCAGGCAUCUGCGAGGGGACGCCCACAUCAAGAAAACCUCAGCACAAGGUUGAGUGUUUCAGCAAACCUCGGGGAGAUUGCACAUUUACUCAUGAAGAGACCACAUGGUGAGGUCAGCCCCAAAACCAGGCCAAUGUCUCUCAAGCCCAACUAGUUUUCAAGACAAUGUCUUGCAACUUAUAGAGUUUGGGGGGAAGGCAGUGUGAAGUUCAGGGGGGAAGGCAGUGUGAAGGUGAGCAUAUCAGUAGCUACCCACCAUGCUGGCUAAUCACUGGGAAAUUCUUUUAUAAACAGCCACAGUCUCUCUCAAGUUUUCCAAAAUUAGAACCUCUCCAAAUUUAUUUUUUUCAAGGCUUCAGAAAUAUCCCAUAAAUCUUUGAAAACGAAAAUUUCUUCUCUCUCCUCAGUCCUCACCCAGGGCUUCUGAUGCUGCCAGUCAAUCCCAAGUCAUGCUUGGUGUUUGGGGACCACGGCAGUGCAAAACCUCUGAGGGCCUGGGGAGAAGGAAUACCUGCAAGACUAAGAAUAAUGAAGGGAUAUAACAGAGGAUAGCCUCACUAUGCUCCUACUCCAGAAAAUUGGAUUAUUGUCUGCAAAGAUUCCUCAGUCUUGUGGACACUGAUGAAAUAUUGUAGACUGGAAUUGAAUCUGGCUUGUUGUCUGUUUGUUUAUUCCUGAGCCUGAUAAUUUAUUUGAACAACUUUGCCUUUCUAUAGUACAUGAUGAUCGGCAAGUUACUAUGACACGCAUUUGUACCCAUUGGACUCUGUGACCAUUCUGAAGAUAAGCUCUUGUCACCCUCCUCAUGGAAAAAAAUGGAGAUUCAUGAAAGUCAAAGGACUGGCCCAGGCUCUCACAGGCAAAGCUGGGAUUCCAACUUGUGUCUAAUGAGCCAGAAGCUCAGAGUCGUUUCCACUCUUUCUGCUCACUCUACACCAAACUCUGGGCUAUGUGUUGUGGAUUCAAAAAUUUUGGAGCCACUGUCUCUCCAAAUAGGCUGUGAAUUCUAGGAGGGGAAGAGCCAAUAAAAUUAAUUAUAGCACUAUAGAGGGAGAGGGAAGGCUUAUAUACCUUUCCCCAAGUCCACUUCAUUCCAAUUUCCUAUCUAUCUACACCAUCUGAGCAUCCUUCUUUCUCAUUCAUUCAGUCAUCAAUUUUUAGUCCAUCUUUUCAUUUAUUCAUAAAUUUGUACAUUUCUUCAGCAAUUAUAACAAUAAGCCAUUACUUAUGAGGUACUUACCACAGCCUGGUCACUGUGCUAGGUAGGCACCACUGCCCUAUAGGUGUUGUGAUGUCCAUCUGCUUGUAGCAGGUAAGCAGGAUUGAGGGCGUUUCUCUCAUUACACCAA